rnacentral:RNase_P_RNA from 1 species
AAGGGAAAGAGGGUAAUCGCUUGUAGAUCCUUUUCUAACGAAAAGUGAGUAAGCAAGAGGAAAGUCUGGACUUCACACAAGAAAGGUGCCAGUGAAAGACUGGGGGCCGCAAGGCUACGGAAAGUGCAACAGAGAGCAUGUCGCUAGUUUGUUUUUUUUAACAAGCUAGACAGAGUGAAAAGCAAGGUUUAAGAUCUUGCCCCUUUUUUAGUAAUAAAGAGGGAGUGUAAACCCCACCUGAAGCAAGAAGAGAUAAAAGUGUCCUUUUUAAGGGGCUGUCUUUGCAAGCUAGCUUUUAUCGAAAAUCGCAUGAGGGAUUUAGUGAUAAAUCCCCUAGAUGAAUGAUUACCGGUAGACACUUGUUGUCUACUCACAAAAUCCGGCUUACAUCUUUCCCCUUCUU